rnacentral:lncRNA from 1 species
GUCCCCUGUCUGUGAUCAAGAGGUGUGUGUGUGCUGGCACCUUGUCAAUCAAAACUAGAAUUCCUGAAGGAUUGUAUGUGGGUUUUGUAAAGCCUUUUUUAAAAUUACCGUGAGUUUGAAAUCCCAACACUGUCCCAUCCCAUUAUGAUGUAUGUUGCAUUAUGAAGAAAUUCUAGCAAGUGAGUACAUAGCAGCAUUAGGGCAGGACAUCACUGUAAUCUCAGUUUACCACCAGAGAACUGUACAGCAUGUGAGAGGAUGGACCUAUGAUACAAAAUUUCGGACAUAAUAUAUUUCAUUUUAUAAUGGGGUCCCAACAUGGCUUUCAUCUCACCUUGUCUCUAGAAUUCUGGACGUAAAUAGUACUCCUGCUUCUAAACCACAAAUUUAAGUACUGCUACUAUAACUGGAACAAAAGCAACAAGUGCAACUAGAAGUACUGCUAGUACAAAGUAACUGUUGAUACCAUUUACUAGGGAGCAGCAAAGACCCAAAGCUGAUUAAACACUGAGCAUCAAAGUUCUCUUUUCGGGAUUUCUUAGCCAAGUACCAACAAUGGAGAAAAUCAUUUGCAUUGAUGUGGCAGUCUACGAAACACCAGUUUGUCUCUUUGAAUUUUGAAACACAAAGAUAACCAUGGCUGCCUGGAAGUCCUGAUUUGAUGUAUUAUGGAGACUUGCAAAAUUCUGCAGCUACAGCAAAAAGAUCUUAACUCCUGUGUAGGCUGUCCCAGGAAGAUAGCACUGGUGUCUGACAAAAAGUUGUUUUCACAUGAGGAGGAAAAAGUAAAUGUUUCCAAAAAAGAAGCAGCAGAUGUAAUUGUCCCAUCACAACAUUCUUUCCAUUUUUUUUCCCCCUUAACCCAUGUAUUUGGGGAGCCAUGAGAUGUUUAAAUCAGGAUUCUACUUUGCCUACAUUCUCUCUGCAGCCAAAAGAGAAUAAAAUUGUCUCUGGAGAGCA